rnacentral:rRNA from 1 species
UACGUAGGGACCAAGCGUUGUUCGGAUUUACUGGGCGUAAAGGGCGCGUAGGCGGCGUGACAAGUCACUUGUGAAAUCUCUGAGCUUAACUCAGAACGGCCAAGUGAAACUGUUGUGCUAGAGUGCAGAAGGGGCAAUCGGAAUUCUUGGUGUAGCGGUGAAAUGCGCAGAUAUCAGGAGGAACACCGGUGGCGAAGGCGGUUCUCUGGGCAUGAUCUGACGCUGAGGAGCGAAAGUGUGGGGAGCGAACAGG